CCCUACGGGGCGCAGCAGUAGGGAAUCUUCCACAAUGGACGAAAGUCUGAUGGAGCAACGCCGCGUGAGUGAAGAAGGGUUUCGGCUCGUAAAGCUCUGUUGGUAGUGAAGAAAGAUAGAGGUAGUAACUGGCCUUUAUUUGACGGUAAUUACUUAGAAAGUCACGGCUAACUACGUGCCAGCAGCCGCGGUAAUACGUAGGUGGCGAGCGUUAUCCGGAAUUAUUGGGUGUAAAGGGUGCGUAGACGGGAAAGCAAGUUAGUUGUGAAAUCCCUCGGCUUAACUGAGGAACUGCAACUAAAACU
rnacentral:rRNA from 1 species